UUUGGCUCUGCACACAGGUGUGGUGAUUGGUUAGUGGCCAACAAACACAAAACCAUUGCUCCAAAGAAUGUGCCUACAAAAACACCUCCCUUUAAGUUAAUUAAAUUGAAUUUUAGCCCUGCAAGUUGGUUAAAUGGUCUGUUAUUGAGUGCUGAGUCCUGGAAGAGAGAGAGGAUGUUGCUGUCUUUGUCUUUAAACCUAGCUGGAGAGAGAAAACAGGAACACAUGACACAGGAGUGGACCCGAGAACACACCAACCACAUUCAUGCCUCAGAGCAGAGAUCUCUGGAGUUCAGAAGACAGGACCACUGGGGACUUACACCACGUAUUGAGUUUAAAAAGGAAAAGCAGGUGAGAAUGAUCCUGUCCAGGAGAAGCUCCCCCGCCUCUGAGUGAGCAGUCUCAUCUGGCUACUCUGCAGCGGACGGCGUCUGUCUACAGAUGGGCAUGUUUCACCACAUGGACUGCAGAGAAUCCAGUGAUUUGGGCUCCACUCCCUCCACCUUGCAAAAUAAAUUCAUAAAUAAUA